ensembl:lncRNA
AAGAGCUCCGUUCAUUAAUGACUUCCCUUUUAAAUGUCAAUCCAUGCUUUUCAACAGGCUAUUUCUCCCAAAAAAUCCAGGUAUUUUCCAACAUUGCAAUUGUUAUGCUUUCACUUUUCCUUGUUUGUUUUUUUUUCUUUUUAAGUGUGUAGUACUCCAGCAAGUGUCAUGCAAUGCCUAUAAAAUACUUGUAAAUUUUUUUCCCCUGAAAUACUGUUUUAAGGACUUAAAAAUCUUCACAAGUUUUUAACAACUCUGUUGAGGAGAUCCAGGAUAGUCACACACAAACAAAAAAUUACUAAGUAUAUUAACCUGAUGGUGAUGUACUACAAACACAUCCUGUGAAGUUCUCUGUCUGCUCAUGUACAACUUCGGAGAAUCAUACAUAGAGAAAAUGUAUACUUGUUAAAUAAACAGUCUAUUCUAACUAUGGCUAUUACAAAAUCAGUGUUGAUAAAUUUAUUGUUUUUAAAUGUAGAGUAUAAGCAUGGAAAAACUGUAUAUAAAAGAACAGCAGCAUAAUUCAUGUAAUUUCUAGGAUUUUUCAUUGACAAAUAUCAAGAAAGCCUUUGUGUGAUGAGUUGGAUGGUCAUGCUUCUCUUGACCAUAUGGCAACACUUGCAUGUUUAAGCUGGGUACAUCCCUGAGAUGAAGGACAAAAGCACAGUCAGUCCUCCACUUACAGCCUUGGGACUUUGCCUGAACCACAACCCAAGGGGAAUAAUACCAUUGUGACUGGAGUUUGGAAAACAAUUUGAACUUCUAUUGGAAACAAUUUGGAAUUGGUUUGGAAACUCCAGUUAUUACUGAUCUGAGGAUGGAAAUUUUACAGAUUACAUCUGGCUACCCUAUAAAUAGAGGUCCUAAGUGAGGCCCUUUGAACUUCCCUGGACUUCAGUGGGGUGCACCAGAAUCUCCCUUGGAGUGGGAGAUGGCUCUCAGAGCUUGCAAACUCUCAAGUUUGUGAGAAAGCUGAAGACGGCAUAGGUGGAUAAAGUCUCACUCCUUGAGCCUCAACCCUCAACCGCUGAGAAAAGCCAAGGCACUCGACGUGGGUAUUUGACUGAAAUCAGAGGGAAUUUUUCACAGGUACUUCUGUACACACUUCAUCAUGUCUGUGUGUAUGCAUGCAUGUGAAUUGAUUUAAAUACCCUCUAGCAAGUAUAGCAUAAACACUGACAUCUCAGAACGAUAAUUAAGUAACUACUACAAAUUUAGUCAAUUUUAUUGAAUUACUUGAUAAAUGCUGGAUUAGAUAAUUGAUUAAGUAUUACUUAAAUUCUUUAAGCAUGAACCAGUGAUCUGGUCUAAGGCUAAGUUUUUCAGUGGUGCCCACUCUGAACCUUGUGACUCUAUGGGAAGGUCUUCCUUACCCUUUGCACCCUUAUCACUCGCAUCCCUAGUCUUCAUGCAAGUCAUUCUAGUGAUUUUAAGGCAAUAUUCUAUUGUAUGCUUCAUUUACAUAGUAAAUAAUAGAGCAAAAAUUGCCAUUGAACCUUGCUGCACUUUCAUACAUUUAUAUACUGUGAUUCUUUAAGCUGCCUCAACCACUCAAUUGCGGCAAAUUGUCAUAGUCAACAGAAUACUAAAUCAGGAUUUGCAACAGUCUUCCACAUAAAAGCAUGAUCUUGAGAGGAAAAAAGAACUCCAAGACAGUUGAGGGUACUCAGACAGGAUGCAUUCAGCAAAUUGCAGCCUGGAUCUCUUGGCAGGAAUCCCUUGACAGCCUUACUUCCAGUUCAUUUACAGCACAUUGUCAAGGUUGGGAGGCACUGGCAGACCUGCACAGAGUGAGCUAUUUGC